rnacentral:piRNA from 1 species
UCCGAGGGAUGUUAGACCUAGAGUUGC